rnacentral:lncRNA from 1 species
AGUGGCCAAUGAUUUGAAAAACUGUAAACUAUGUCUUAUGCUUAGAUCCUUUUGAUCUUUGUUUAGUUGUGAUGAGAGGGAGCUUUAAUGAGCAUUAUCGUCAAAGGCAAAAGCAUAUACCAGCACAUUGAACUGUGGGAAAAGGUUAAAAAGUAAUUCAAAUGUAAGCAUUUCAACUAACAGGUAAUUAGCGGCUUUAUCUUGAUGCUUAUUUUGGGUUAAUAUUCCUUAUUCCUUCAAUGUUUGUAAAUUCAUUCAUUCUAUCUUUCCACUGUACAGAAAAUGCAGGUCCAAGAAAGCUCACUCUUAGUCAUUCCCAACAACUUUGCCGCUAAUCUUUGGCAUGUUGUCAAUGAUCCAGACAUCCCUGCCAUUGUAUGGGACAGCCAGGGUGAGGUUAUCAUUAUAGAUAAGUAUAGUAUUGAGAAGCAGGUCCUGUCUCCCAGUAACAGCACCUUGAACAGUUGCCAUGCUUUUGGUACUAUGUCUUUCUUAAGUUUUAUCCGUAAGCUUUAUGCAUACGGCUUCAAAAAAGCUCCAUAUCCACCUGCAAUUCAGCCAAACAUUUAUCAGUUUUUCAAUCCUAACUUCAGAAAAAUAAUCCAGAACUUCUUUCACUUGUGAGUCGAAGUGCUCACCAAGUAUCGGAGAAUCACAAGUCUGACCCGAGAGCCCAAUUUCUGCCUAAAGACAGGACUGAAAAAAAGAUGUAUGUAUCCAAUGUGAAGGAUGGUGAAGAAAACUUUGCAGGAAGGUUAGUGUCAAGAUUGAAAAUGUAUGUAAAGUGUCAACAAUCACCUUCUGUGUGUGAUGUGAUAUUUUUGCAUGAUUUUGCAGGAGACAAGUUACAUCAGCGGCCAAUCAAGCCCGUUUCCUCAUCAUGACACCAGAAAUCCACGGGAAGCAACAAAGGAGGAGGGCCCUCCUAGAGUCUACAAUAGUACUCCAAGUACCUCAAGCAAAACUAUUUUUACAAGCUUAGUCCCAUAUUCAACUCCUGGGCGGUCUCCCAACCUGAACGCAGAGUUCCUACUAUGGUCUACCGUUCCUGGCCACUUUGUCCCAGCUCUUUGUUGGUACCGGCAGGAUCCCAUAGCUCCAGGUUUCUGCACUUUUUACCAGAUGGGAUGUCCAGGCAACACAGUUCCACCUAUGUAUCCCAUAGAGCCAGUUACUUCAUUUGCGCAGAAGAUGCCCCGUUCAUCCACGAGUGUUUUAAAGAUGAAUCCACUGAAUCGUCCCUGUGCAGUAUCACAACAUAUCUCUAUCAUUAGCGGUGACGGAGUAGCCUCCAUCUGUCCUCCAAUCAGUACUGUCGCUGAAGCUGGAGAAAACGUUCAGAAUACAACCACAGAGAAAUGAUAAAAUCAGUAGAGUUCAUUAAUGUAGUUUUAUUAAAGCAUUUAUCUCUGCUCAUUCUCAAAAGAGUAUGUCCCUGAACUGUUGCCCUCAACCUGUCCGGCAAAUUCCGAGUCUUAAUUUCAGCCCUCAGGUCAGGUGGAGUCGAAAGCCUGGACCUUUUUGCCAUCUGUCAGGAAUGACUAAAUAAAGUUUUAAAGCUGUAAGUAAAUGGUUGUUUGAAUGCUCUCUCUCUCUGGUUGCCUUGUGAUCUGCUGGCAACUUGUCCCGGGCGCACCCUGCCU